AUUGAACGCUGGCGGCAGGCCUAACACAUGCAAGUCGAGCGGAUGAAGGGAGCUUGCUCCUGGAUUCAGCGGCGGACGGGUGAGUAAUGCCUAGGAAUCUGCCUGGUAGUGGGGGAUAACGUCCGGAAACGGGCGCUAAUACCGCAUACGUCCUGAGGGAGAAAGUGGGGGAUCUUCGGACCUCACGCUAUCAGAUGAGCCUAGGUCGGAUUAGCUAGUUGGUGGGGUAAAGGCCUACCAAGGCGACGAUCCGUAACUGGUCUGAGAGGAUGAUCAGUCACACUGGAACUGAGACACGGUCCAGACUCCUACGGGAGGCGGCAGUGGGGAAUAUUGGACAAUGGGCGAAAGCCUGAUCCAGCCAUGCCGCGUGUGUGAAGAAGGUCUUGGAUUGUAAAGCACUUUAAGUUGGGAGGAAGGGCAGUAAGUUAAUACCUUGCUGUUUUGACGUUACCAACAGAAUAAGCACCGGCUAACUUCGUG
rnacentral:rRNA from 1 species